AGAGUUUGACCUUGGCUCAGGAUGAACGUUAGCGGGAGGCCUAACACAUGCAAGUCGAACGGGCUGAUGAUUGUCUUCGGACGAUUAUCAGCCAGUGGCAGACGGGUGAGUAACACGUGCCUAACCUGCCCUGGAGAGGGGGAUAACUGGGGAAACCCAGCUAAUCCGCCAUACGCUCAUAUACCUGAGAUGGUAUAUGAGGAAAGGAGGUAACUCCGCUCUAGGAGGGGGGCGCGGCGCAACAGCUAGUUGGUGAGGUAACGGCUCACCAAGGCGACGAUGGGUAGGGGGCCUGAAAGGGUGAUCCCCCACACUGGUACUGAGACACGGACCAGACUCCUACGGGAGGCAGCAGUGAGGAAUAUUGCACAAUGGAGGAAACUCUGAUGCAGCAACGCCGCGUGGAGGAUGACACAUUUCGGUGCGUAAACUCCUUUUAUAUGAGAAGAUAAUGACGGUAUCAUAUGAAUAAGCACCGGCUAACUCCGUGCCAGCAGCCGCGGUAAUACGGAGGGUGCAAGCGUUACUCGGAAUCACUGGGCGUAAAGAGCGCGUAGGCGGGUUAGUAAGUUGGAAGUGAAAGCCCACAGCUCAACUGUGGAACUGCUUCCAAAACUGCUAAUCUAGAGUUUGGGAGAGGUAAGUGGAAUUCCUGGUGUAGGGGUGAAAUCCGUAGAGAUCAGGAGGAAUACCGAAAGCGAAGGCGACUUACUGGAACAAUAUUGACGCUGAUGCGCGAAAGCGUGGGGAGCAAACAGGAUUAGAUACCCUGGUAGUCCACGCCCUAAACGAUGAAUGUUAGUCGUUGUGAUGCAAGUCAUUGCAGUGAUGCAGCUAACGCAUUAAACAUUCCGCCUGGGGAGUACGGUCGCAAGAUUAAAACUCAAAGGAAUAGACGGGGACCCGCACAAGUGGUGGAGCAUGUGGUUUAAUUCGAAGAUACGCGAAGAACCUUACCCGGCCUUGACAUCCCAGGAAUCUUUCAGAGAUGAGAGAGUGCUACUUCGGUAGAGCUUGGUGACAGGUGCUGCACGGCUGUCGUCAGCUCGUGUCGUGAGAUGUUGGGUUAAGUCCCGCAACGAGCGCAA
rnacentral:rRNA from 1 species